rnacentral:rRNA from 1 species
UACGUAGGGGGCUAGCGUUAUCCGGAAUUACUGGGCGUAAAGGGUGCGUAGGUGGUUUCUUAAGUCAGAGGUGAAAGGCUUCGGCUCAACCGUAGUAAGCCUUUGAAACUGGGAAACUUGAGUGCAGGAGAGGAGAGUGGAAUUCCUAGUGUAGCGGUGAAAUGCGUAGAUAUUAGGAGGAACACCAGUUGCGAAGGCGGCUCUCUGGACUGUAACUGACACUGAGGCACGAAAGCGUGGGGAGCAAACAGG